rnacentral:tRNA from 1 species
ACCAUUAUUUACAUAAUUGAUGCAACCUGAUUGAUUAUGACAACGUUAGAAAGACUCU